CAACCUGCCGCUUACUCGGGGAUAGCCUUUCGAAAGAAAGAUUAAUACCCGAUGGUAUAAAGAGUUCGCAUGUUCUCUUUAUUAAAGAAUUUCGGUAAGCGAUGGGGAUGCGUUCCAUUAGAUUGUUGGCGGGGUAACGGCCCACCAAGUCUACGAUGGAUAGGGGUUCUGAGAGGAAGGUCCCCCACAUUGGAACUGAGACACGGUCCAGACUCCUACGGGAGGCAGCAGUGAGGAAUAUUGGUCAAUGGACGCGAGUCUGAACCAGCCAAGUAGCGUGAAGGAUGACUGCCCUAUGGGUUGUAAACUUCUUUUAUAAGGGAAUAAAGUGAGGGACGUGUCCCUUUUUGUAUGUACCUUAUGAAUAAGGAUCGGCUAACUCCGUGCCAGCAGCCGCGGUAAUACGGAGGAUCCAAGCGUUAUCCGGAUUUAUUGGGUUUAAAGGGAGCGUAGGUUGACAUAUAAGUCAGCUGUGAAAGUUUACGGCUCAACCGUGAAAUAGCAGUUGAUACUGUAUGUCUUGAGUGUACAAGAGGUGGGCGGAAUUCGUGGUGUAGCGGUGAAAUGCUUAGAUAUCACGAAGAACUCCGAUUG
rnacentral:rRNA from 1 species